rnacentral:rRNA from 1 species
ACGCGUGGAACCUUACCAGGUCUUGACAUCCCACUGACCGCUAUGGAGACAUAGCUUUCCCUUCGGGGACAGUGGUGACAGGUGGUGCAUGGUUGUCGUCAGCUCGUGUCGUGAGAUGUUGGGUUAAGUCCCGCAACGAGCGCAACCCUUGUCCUUAGUUGCCAUCAUUUAGUUGGGCACUCUAAGGAGACUGCCGAUGACAAAUCGGAGGAAGGUGGGGAUGACGUCAAAUCAUCAUGCCCCUUAUGACCUGGGCUACACACGUGCUACAAUGGACGGUACAAACGGUUGCGAAGUCGCGAGAUGGAGCUAAUCUGAUAAAACCGUUCUCAGUUCGGAUUGUAGGCUGCAACUCGCCUACAUGAAGCUGGAAUCGCUAGUAAUCGCGGAUCAGCAUGCCGCGGUGAAUACGUUCCCGGGCCUUGUACACACCGCCCGU